rnacentral:rRNA from 1 species
AACGCUAGCUACAGGCUUAACACAUGCAAGUCGAGGGGCAGCAUAAAAGUAGCAAUACUUUGGUGGCGACCGGCGCACGGGUGAGUAACGCGUAUGCAACCUACCUACCAGAGGGGGAUAACCCGGCGAAAGUCGGACUAAUACCGCAUAAAACAGGGGCACCGCAUGGUGCUAUUUGUUAAAAAUUUAUUGCUGAUAGAUGGGCAUGCGUUCCAUUAGGUAGUUGGAGAGGUAACGGCUCACCAAGCCCACGAUGGAUAGGGGAACUGAGAGGUUGGUCCCCCACACUGGUACUGAGACACGGACCAGACUCCUACGGGAGGCAGCAGUGAGGAAUAUUGGUCAAUGGGCGAGAGCCUGAACCAGCCAAGUCGCGUGAAGGAAGAAGGAUCUAUGGCUCGUAAACUUCUUUUGCAGGGGAAUAAAGUGCAGGACGUGUCCUGUUUUGUAUGUACCCUGAGAAUAAGGAUCGGCUAACUCCGUGCCAGCAGCCGCGGUAAUACGGAGGAUUCGAGCGUUAUCCGGAUUUAUUGGGUUUAAAGGGUGCGUAGGUGGUUUAAUAAGUCAGCGGUGAAAGUUUGCAGCUUAACUGUAAAAAUGCCGUUGAAACUGUUAGACUUGAGUGUAAAUGAGGUAGGCGGAAUGCGUGGUGUAGCGGUGAAAUGCUUAGAUAUCACGCAGAACUCCGAUUGCGAAGGCAGCUUACCAAGCUACAACUGACACUGAAGCACGAAAGCGUGGGGAUCAAACAGGAUUAGAUACCCUGGUAGUCCACGCAGUAAACGAUGAUUACUAGCUGUUUGCGAUACACAGUAAGCGGCACAGCGAAAGCAUUAAGUAAUCCACCUGGGGAGUACGCCGGCAACGGUGAAACUCAAAGGAAUUGACGGGGGCCCGCACAAGCGGAGGAACAUGUGGUUUAAUUCGAUGAUACGCGAGGAACCUUACCCGGGUUUGAACGCAGAGAGACAGGAGUGGAAACAUUCUUUUCAGCAAUGACUGUCUGCGAGGUGCUGCAUGGUUGUCGUCAGCUCGUGCCGUGAGGUGUCGGCUUAAGUGC